ensembl:snoRNA Snora61 small nucleolar RNA SNORA61
ACCCUCCGGUUUCCCUUUCCCAUCGGAUCUUGACACUGGUCUUGGUGGUCGUUAAGGAGGAAGAAUACCCUGAAGCUGGCCUCACAGCGAUGCAGUCUGCUGUAGAGCAGCAGGCCAGACUCAGACAUAUAUGC